GUGUCAGCAGCCGCGGUAAUACGGAAGGUCCAGGCGUUAUCCGGAUUUAUUGGGUUUAAAGGGAGCGUAGGCUGGAGAUUAAGUGUGUUGUGAAAUGUAGACGCUCAACGUCUGAAUUGCAGCGCAUACUGGUUUCCUUGAGUACGCACAACGUUGGCGGAAUUCGUCGUGUAGCGGUGAAAUGCUUAGAUAUGACGAAGAACUCCGAUUGCGAAGGCAGCUGACGGGAGCGCAACUGACGCUUAAGCUCGAAGGUGCGGGUAGCAAACAGGAUUAGAAACCCCUGUAGUCC
rnacentral:rRNA from 1 species